GGGAAGGGCGGCGUGCUAAACAUGCAGUCGAGCGGGGACAGUGAGUAGCAAUACAAGCUGUUCUAGCGGCGGACGGGUGAGUAACGCGUGAGCAACCUGUCCCAAACAGGGGGAUAACGAACCGAAAGGUUCACUAAUACCGCAUAAGACCACAGAGCCACAUGGUUCAGAGGUCAAAGGAGCAAUCCGGUUUGGGGUGGGCUCGCGUCUGAUUAGCUAGUUGGUGGGGUAACGGCCUACCAAGGCGACGAUCAGUAGCCGACCUGAGAGGGUGAUCGGCCACAUUGGAACCGAGACACGGUCCAAACUCCUACGGGAGGCAGCAGUGGGGAAUAUUGGGCAAUGGACGAAAGUCUGACCCAGCAACGCCGCGUGAAGGAAGAAGGUUUUCGGAUCGUAAACUUCUAUCCUUGGUGAAGAUAAUGACGGUAGCCAAGAAGGAAGCCCCGGCUAACUACGUGCCAGCAGCCGCGGUAAUACGUAGGGGGCAAGCGUUGUCCGGAAUGAUUGGGCGUAAAGGGCGCGUAGGCGGCCUGGUAAGUCUGGAGUGAAAGUCCUGCUUUUAAGGUGGGAAUUGCUUUGGAUACUGCUGGGCUUGAGUGCAGGAGAGGUAAGUGGAAUUCCCGGUGUAGCGGUGAAAUGCGUAGAGAUCGGGAGGAACACCAGUGGCGAAGGCGACUUACUGGACUGUAACUGACGCUGAGGCGCGAAAGUGUGGGGAGCAAACAGGAUUAGAUACCCUGGUAGUCCACACUGUAAACGAUGAAUGCUAGGUGUAGGGGGUAUCGACCCCUUCUGUGCCGGAGUUAACACAAUAAGCAUUCCGCCUGGGGAGUACGGCCGCAAGGUUGAAACUCAAAGGAAUUGACGGGGCCCGCACAAGCAGCGGAGCAUGUGGUUUAAUUCGAAGCAACGCGAGAACCUUACCAGGUCUUGACAUCCAGUAAAAUCUGUAGAGAUACAGUGUGCCUUCGAGCGUACUGAGACAGUGUGCAUGGUGUCGUCAGCUCGUGUCGUGAGAAUGUGGGUUAAGUCCCGCAACGAGCGCAACCCUUGUGAUCAGUACUAACGCGUAAAGCG
rnacentral:rRNA from 1 species